UACGUAGGGUGCAAGCGUUAAUCGGAAUUACUGGGCGUAAAGCGUGCGCAGGCGGUUGUGUAAGACAGAUGUGAAAUCCCCGGGCUCAACCUGGGAACUGCAUUUGUGACUGCACAGCUGGAGUGCGGCAGAGGGGGAUGGAAUUCCGCGUGUAGCAGUGAAAUGCGUAGAUAUGCGGAGGAACACGAUGGCGAAGGCAACUCCCUGGCCACACUGACGCUCAUGCACGAAAGCGUGGGGAGCAAACAGGAUUAGAACCUACCGUA
rnacentral:rRNA from 1 species